AAGCUAAGCGGCGCUGGUGAAGCGGCUCAUCAGGUCUAUCAGGAAACCUGAGAAUUGGAGUGAGAAUCCCAGUGUGGAAAAUCAGGAAAGAGGCUGGUAUGAGCGACAGAGAAGUCAUUCAGGAAAGAGGUUAUUGAAUUCAUUGGAGAAUGAAUGCUGUUCUGAAUUUGGAGAUCUCCAUGACUCUUUACGUUUCAAGUAUCUUAAGGGAAAUACUACAAAAUGUCGCAGAAGGUGCUGGAUGGAUAUCUAAAGUUCAAAAAGGAAGAGAACCACACGAGCUGGAGAUUCAGGAAGCAUCAGUAGAAGUCAAUGGCCAUUAAUAAAAACAUUUUUUAUUAAAAUAUUGAAUCUGAAUAGAAACCUCCUGUACUUCAUUUCUUAAAUCCCUUGAGGGUAGUAACUGCAUCUUCUCCAUUGAUAUAGCCCCUGCCAAGCACAGUGCCUGAAGGCAGGUCCACAGACAUUGGCUGAAUAAACGAGUGCUCUGUUCCCAGUCCGUACUUUCUCUGUGUCAUAAAAAAGCUGACAUGUCUGUGCUGCAUUUGAGGAUGACACUGGAUUUCCACAUUGCCUUUUCGCCUCAGAGCUUAUAUUACUUCCUAUCAAGUUAUCUCUCUGCCCCUCAUCGCAUCCCAGUGAGAAAGCAGAAAAUCCUAGAAAGUCAUUUUCC
rnacentral:lncRNA from 1 species